UCGUGGCCAUAGAGAAUGAACAGCAUUAACAGUAACGUAAUCGGUCCCUCUCCCGUUCGUAUAUCUUUUUCGAAGACGAGGCGAUGUCCUACAUUUGUGGCACGAGGCUCCCACCGUGUCUGGUUGCCCCUCUUUUCCACCGGUUCCUGGCCCCGGUUAUAUUUAGUCGAUAUUUCAUCCGUUUCACGCCGAAGCCGGUUAAAGCUGAUUAUUGCGCCAGGUCGAGGUGGCCGUUCAAAGAGGACGAGUUUUUCGAUAGCUUUGCCGAGACGCGCUACCUCUGCGCGAAACCGAUCCUACGAUUGUCCUAGGAACCAACAUGGCAACAUCGCGAAGUCGCUCCUUCUUCGCCGAUUUUCUCGUCACGCGGCAGCCUGUGCAAGAAGAGCGAAAGAUAAAGAGAGGAAAAAUCGAGGGAGGGCCGCCGGGAGGAAGAUGAAAUACGAAGAGGAAGCGGAGCUAGCCCGGCUAGCACGGACCGAUCGAUAGAAAACACGCUGGGCGCGUUCGCGUGUAAUGAGGAAGUGUUCUCUCGCAAACAGUUACAAGUGGAGUAGGUUACGUAGAUAAGUCGUCACACAUACGGCCGUGUGUAAUUCUCUCCUGGCGAGUGGGCAUGUGGGCUCUCUCGAUACCGAGCCACCGCGACCGACAUUACAGGUGUAAUAUGCAACGUAGCCAGUUACAUUUACUCCGGAAAGGGAGACGAGGCCUCGAGAGAGAAGAGGAAGAGAGAGAGAGAGAGAGAGAAGCUGCAGUUUAACGUCGAUGGAAAAUGGAUCGACCGAUUCAGGAGACCAGGCAAAAUUGCCCCGAGUCGCUUCGACCCGGGGAAUCGAUCGUGCAAAAGCAUAUCGGUGGGGACUUAAUGUUUUUGGAUAAUUGAUUUUUUCGUCUGCGUGAAUUCGUUGAUUUAUCUUUUCUCCUUGAGAUAAAUAAAUUCGUGGUAAUAACUGAGCUGCGGACUUUUACGCUCUUAUGGGAAUUUCGGAGAUACAAAAAUACACAGAGCGCACAUACCACCAAAAAUAUAUUAACCAUAUACAUAUAAAAGUAAUAAAAAUAUAAAAUGUUUAUCCAAUGUUUCACCUAUUGUGAUUGACCUGAUUGGGUUCAAUAUACGAUAUCUAAAGUAUCUAAAGUAUAAAAUAUCCAAAGUAGAAUGAAAUGUAGAGCGAAACAAAUCUCCGAUUAGGUUCCAUUUCUUUAACCGUACUCACAAAAAUUUAAAUCUGCAUGCGUAUCCACAGUCUCAUGGGAAAUCUUGUCUCUUUCAGACGUUAAGUACCAAUUAUGAAAAUGAGAAGUUUAGAAAAAGUUAGCCGUUGAAAGAUUCAUUUACAAGGUGCAUCUCAGUAUACAGUCAACGUUUGUAUAUCUAGCGACGUUGCUAAAAACCCAGCAAAGCAUUCGUAUAUUUAAUAAGUGAUAGCGUACGUUCGUUUAUGUAGCUAUGUUAAUGUUCUUGAAAAGUGCACACGUUUAAUCUCGUUACACCUACGUCAAUUUCAUCAUCUUAUGUUGAGUAGCUGAUGCGUUUAUUUAGGUUUUUGGGUAAUAAGAUUUGCUGACGUGUCAUAACUGAAAGUGGAACAGAUGACCGCGAUUUUCUGUAUGAAACUUAAUAAAUUUCCAAGUUAAACGUAUCAAACGCUGGAAUCGCUUUGUCAAAAUUAACAACGUUUGGAUGAUGCAAAUGUUGUUAACCAAAUUUUCAGAGAAUCCGAGAGAUUCUCUCACAAAGGGAAGGAAAGUAGAAUACAGGGGAAAAAUGUUGAAAAAUAUUACAAAGGAAAUUUAAACGUGAUUUCAGGAAGAGAACUUUUUAAUUCUUUUCAUUCGUAAUAAAAUGCUUUCACAAGCUGACACGGUUUACCUUAAUUAGAUUAUAAUAUUAAUGAAAAUGUAUUUAAUAAUACAUUUCUGUAAUGUUUAUUGUA